GAAGUCGGCCGGGCAGCCGCUGCGCCUGUUCGCAGGCGUGGAGGAAAGUCCGGGCUCCACAGGGCAGGGUGCCAGGUAACCCCUGGGCGGCGUGAGCCGACGGAAAGUGCCACAGAGAACAGACCGCCGAUGGCCCGGUUCGCCGGGCACAGGCAAGGGUGAAAAGGUGCGGUAAGAGCGCACCGCGCGGGUGGCAACACGCCGCGGCACGGUAAACCCCACCCGGAGCAAGACCAAAUAGGGGAGCGCACGUGUGGCCCGCACGGCUCCCGGGUAGGUCGCUGGAGGUGUGCGGUGACGCACACCCAAGAGGAAUGGCUGCUCUCGACAGAACCCGGCUUACAGGCCGACUUCCCCC
rnacentral:RNase_P_RNA from 1 species